GCCGGCGUGGCGGAAAUGGCAGACGCGGACGUCUCGCAAGCGUCUGGGCGAAAGCCCGUGCGGGUUCGAAUCCCGCCGCCGGCA
rfam:Gemmatimonadetes bacterium 13_1_40CM_4_69_8 13_1_40cm_4_scaffold_7895, whole genome shotgun sequence.